GACCCUGCUGAGUCAUACCUUCCUCUGGCUUGCAUUUAUUUUUAAUUGUAUGUUCUGAACAGAUGGAAAUUUCUUGGCUGUUGGGAGUGAAAUUUUGGAUAUUUGGGAAAUAUAUCCAGAAGGAAGUGGCCGGGAUAUGACUCAUACAGCCCUCUGAACCCUGAUGGGGUGAGCAGACUCCAGCAAUUCCUACGCAGCUGCCUUGCGCGAAGCAGCUGGGGACCCUUUUCUAAGACGAUCAUCCAUGGUCUUGGCAGAGGCCUGAGGAAGAAAGAUGACCUGGAGAUGCCUCCUGCCAAGACAGGCACCAUGCCCAGGGCGCAGGCUGGGAGAAGCGGUCGCCACGCCCCCGAGGGGGUACCUUACCCCACUUUCUUCUGCUACCAUCUUUCUGGAUCUCAUAAAGAAAAUGUCAUCUAAAAUAGAAUCUACUCUCAACCCCAAAAGCUGCAGUGGAAAGGUGAGGGAGGAGCUCUAACUUCAUCUCAGGCCCCUGAAGGCAUCACAGGAAGACUGACUCAGGCAAGGAAGGCCGCCGCCAGCCCCUCGGGCCCACAGCUUGCUGAGUCAGGCCUUCACCACUCAGGCUCUGUCUUUCAGGGCCCCAGGAAGUGUCCCUGAGAGUCAGACUGAUAGAGCACACCAGCCUUGGCAGUUCACCUACAUCUAGAGAGAACAGAGAGAUGUGAAAGGACAUCAGGGAGUUUCUCAACUCUUUCGGAGGGAGAAAACGUUCCUCACAGGAAGUCUGCGGCAAGGAACCAGAGUACACGCCCCUCCGGCUGACUGAGAAGGCUGAGCAUGUCUUGGCCAUUAGCAAACAAAGAUGCCGGACUUCCUUGAGAUAGAACAUCAAUAACAACAACAGCACAAACACACAAACAAAAAACACUUGCCCAAAUUUCAGCCUUGGUGUGAGUAUGCUCAGGAAUGGGGGACAUGGCACCAAUGCAGAGUUCAUCGGAUGGAGCCUGCACCCCACUGCAGGGAAUACUUAGCUGCUGAAAGUUCGACCCCCACCCCAGACCUAGGCAUCAUGUGCUUCAAACACUCAAGGGUCUCUGGUGCCUGGGAGGUACCUUUGUGGGUCAGGCAUGAGUUCAACAAUGGUCAUCAAGGAUCUGACCUCCUCAGUUCCACAGCAGCGCUGCCUGCCCCGCUGGGGUCACCACGGUGAUUUUGAAAACAAAACACUUCAAGUUUUCUCCGAUUUAGAAGCAAUGCAGACCAGGGUGUAAAUGAGAGGAGGGGCCAGGGCUUUUCUCUACAUCCAGGCUCAGGUCUGGAUUCUCAAGAAAAAAUAAUAAUAAUUUCAAAGAAAUUUGAUGAAGAAAAAAAAAAAAAAUCAAACCGGCAGCUUCACUUGAAACCGAGGCAGGGCACCUAGGGAAGGAUAGGGGCAUGUCAAGGAGUACACCGACCGCUGCUACAGAUUCACAGUGUGAACCAUUCUGUGGGUAACAUUUAACCCAUGAGGACAUUCCCAUUUCGUCCUCCGCUAGGGACCCCAGGCCUCCUGCAGGGCAGCUUCCUUGGCCCCCAGCAGGAUGCUCCCACAGGGCACUAUCUGCUGACCACCUGAGUGUUACCAUGAUCCUCCCUUCUUAUAGGGAGCAGGCCCCUUGAUACCCUCCACCAUGUCCUAAGUCCCAAUGUCAGCCCAGGACCCAAGGGUCGUGGCUGCUGCAUGUAAAGAUCCUAGGGAGGUCUGGCACCCACCUCCCCGUUGCCAGAAAGACCACAGGCAGGGAGAAUUGUCCCAAGCCAGACUCUCCAUGGCUUCCCUGGUGUUCUUCCAUUUCCACCACUGUGAUAGAAUGCCCCAGCAAAAGCGACAGGAGAAGAAAGACUCAGCUCAGCUCACAAUUCCAGGUUAGAGUCCCUCAUUGCAAGGAAGUCAAGACAGGGACCUGAAGCAGCUAGUCCUGUCACAUCCAGAGCCAACAGCAGAGAGAAAUGAAUGCGAGCACGCUCAGUACUCAGAUAGCUUUCUUAACCCUCUGUAGUCCAGGGUCCAAACUCAGGGGAUGACACAGUGGGUGGACCUUCCCGUAUCAAUGAACAUAAUCAAGACAAAUCCCCUGCAGACACGCCCACAGACCUAAUCUUGGAAAUCCCUCAUUGAGACUUCCUUCCCAAGUGAUUCUAGGUUGUGUUGAGUAGAUAAUCAGAACCAACCAUCACGCUGGAAGAUGAAGUGAUGGACAUAUAGGGAGGCAUCACACGGAUCCCCCUCCAAGCAGCAGUCCGUGCCCCAACCCCUCCUACCUUCUUCCACAACUGUAUACUCUCAUGCUAUACUGACCUCCCAGGACAGCCUCCUCCUCCUCCUCCUCCUCCAGCCUCUUAGGUGAUACCUGUCAAGGUGGGGCCUACCAUCUGCCAAGCAUAUAGGGCAGGACAUUAGUGGACUUUCUUCUCCCGUAAACUCUGUGCCUGGGUGUCUUUGAGGGGUGCCAUUUCACUUUUGGAGUGAGACCAGUUGGUCAUGCCCCACCAGAAUCUUCCACCAAGCAUUGUCUGGGGCUGCAACCAGAAGUCAUAGGUAUUGGGAGCAGCCAUGAAGAAGAUACACUAAGGGGCUCGGCAUCUUGAGAGAGGUGUGCAGAACCAUUGGCCAGUGAUGAGGAUGCCGCCUAACACCAGUUCCAUCUUCAAAGCCUAAGGAGUCAGUACCCUUUCACCGCCCCCCCAAGUAUCAAGAAGCCAAGAGAAUCUGGGGCUAACAGCAUUCAGGGGUCUUCCACUCUGACCAACGGAGGUUCCAAGAGUGCAUCCCUGAGCAGAGCAAUGGGUUGGGGCUUCAGUGGCACCCAGCCCCAUCCCUGCUAUUAAAAGAGUAAGACCUAGUGUUGUGAUAUAUUGUGUACCCCAAUAUAUUGUGAACUCUAAUAAACUU